GCGUUCGUAGUUCAACUGGAUAGAAUAUCGGAUUUCGAUUCCGAGGGUUAGAGGUUCGAAUCCCUUAGAGCGCA
rnacentral:tRNA from 1 species